AGCGAACGCUGGCGGCAGGCCUAACACAUGCAAGUCGAACGAACUCUUCGGAGUUAGUGGCGGACGGGUGAGUAACACGUGGGAACGUGCCCUUUGGUACGGAACAACACAGGGAAACUUGUGCUAAUACCGUAGGUGCCCUUCUGGGGAAAGAUUUAUCGCGCUUGGAGCAGCCCGCGUUGGAUUAGGUAGUUGGUGAGGUAAAGGCUCACCAAGCCUACGAUCCAUAGCUGGUCUGAGAGGAUGAUCAGCCACACUGGGACUGAGACACGGCCCAGACUCCUACGGGAGGCAGCAGUAGGGAAUCUUGCGCAAUGGGCGAAGGCCUGACGCAGCCAUGCCGCGUGAAUGAUGAAGGUCUUAGGAUUGUAAAAUUCUUUCACCGGGGAAGAUAAUGACGGUACCCGGAGAAGAAGCCCCGGCUAACUUCGUGCCAGCCGCCGCAGUAA
rnacentral:rRNA from 1 species